rnacentral:rRNA from 1 species
AUUGAACGCUGGCGGCAUGCCUUACACAUGCAAGUCGAACGGCAGCACGGGAGCAAUCCUGGUGGCGAGUGGCGAACGGGUGAGUAAUAUAUCGGAACGUGCCCAAUCGUGGGGGAUAACGUAGCGAAAGUUACGCUAAUACCGCAUACGAUCUACGGAUGAAAGCGGGGGAUCGCAAGACCCCGCGCGGGUGGAGCGGCCGAUAUCAGAUUAGGUAGUUGGUGGGGUAAAGGCCUACCAAGCCUGCGAUCUGUAGCUGGUUUGAGAGAACGACCAGCCACACUGGGACUGAGACACGGCCCAGACUCCUACGGGAGGCAGCAGUGGGGAAUUUUGGACAAUGGGGGCAACCCUGAUCCAGCCAUGCCGCGUGCAGGACGAAGGCCUUCGGGUUGUAAACUGCUUUUGUACGGAACGAAACGGCCUUUUCUAAUACAGAGGGCUAAUGACGGUACCGUGAGAAUAAGCACCGGCUAACUACGUGCCAGCAGCCGCAGUAA